AUUGAACGCUGGCGGCAGGCCUAACACAUGCAAGUCGAGCGGUAACAUUUCUAGCUUGCUAGAAGAUAACGAGCGGCGGACGGGUGAGUAACGCGUAGAAAUCUACCUAGUAGUGGGGGAUAGCCCAGAGAAAUUUGGAUUAAUACCGCAUACGCCCUACGGGGGAAAGCGGGGGAUCUUCGGACCUCGUGCUAUUAGAUGAGUCUGCGUCGGAUUAGCUUGUUGGUGAGGUAAUGGCUCACCAAGGCGACGAUCCGUAGCUGGUCUGAGAGGAUGACCAGCCACACUGGAACUGAGACACGGUCCAGACUCCUACGGGAGGCAGCAGUGGGGAAUAUUGCACAAUGGGCGCAAGCCUGAUGCAGCCAUGCCGCGUGUGUGAAGAAGGCCUUAGGGUUGUAAAGCACUUUUGGCGGGGACGAUAAUGACGGUACCCGCAGAAUAAGCCCCGGCUAACUUCGUG
rnacentral:rRNA from 1 species